CUACGGAGGGUGCAAGCGUUGUUCGGAAUUACUGGGCGUAAAGCGCGUGCAGGCGGUAAGGUAAGUCAGAUGUGAAAGCCCCGGGCUCAACCCGGGAAGUGCAUUUGAUACUGCCUUUCUUGAGUAUGGGAGAGGAGAGUGGAAUUCCCAGUGUAGAGGUGAAAUUCGUAGAUAUUGGGAGGAACACCCGUGGCGAAGGCGACUCUCUGGACCAAUACUGACGCUGAGACGCGAAAGCGUGGGGAGCGAACAGGAUUAGAAACCCCGGUAGUCC
rnacentral:rRNA from 1 species